AGCGCUUAAACGGAUUUCUUCGGAUUGAAGUUUUAGUGACUGAGCGGCGGACGGGUGAGUAACGCGUGGGUAACCUGCCUCAUACAGGGGGAUAACAGUUAGAGAUGGCUGCUAAUACCGCAUAAGCGCACAGGACCGCAUGGUCUGGUGUGAAAAACUCCGGUGGUAUGAGAUGGACCCGCGUCUGAUUAGCUAGUUGGAGGGGUAACGGCCCACCAAGGCAACGAUCAGUAGCCGGCCUGAGAGGGUGAACGGCCACAUUGGGACUGAGACACGGCCCAGACUCCUACGGGAGGCAGCAGUGGGGAAUGUUGCACAAUGGGGGAAACCCUGAUGCAGCGACGCCGCGUGAAGGAAGAAGUAUCUCGGUAUGUAAACUUCUAUCAGCAGGGAAGAAAAUGACGGUACCUGACUAAGAAGCCCCGGCUAACUACGUGCCAGCAGCCGCGGUAAUACGUAGGGGGCAAGCGUUAUCCGGAUUUACUGGGUGUAAAGGGAGCGUAGACGGAAGAGCAAGUCUGAUGUGAAAGGCUGGGGCUUAACCCCAGGACUGCAUUGGAAACUGUUUUUCUAGAGUGCCGGAGAGGUAAGCGGAAUUCCAUGUGUAGCGGUGAAAUGCGUAGAUAUAUGGAGGACACCAGUGGCGAAGGCGG
rnacentral:rRNA from 1 species